rnacentral:misc_RNA from 1 species
CUGAUACUUGGCCUUUGAGUUGAUACCGAAAGGAGUCCUCAUUGCCAAAUUCACCUCUUGUGCACUAUGUUGUCUUUUGGUAGUUUAAACCUUGGUUUAGGCUGCCAAACUUUUAAACAAACCAUAUAUCAACUUUACUGACAUUAUAUGUAAAAUAUAAA